CAAAGUUCUCUGAUAAUCCCCGACCAGUGGAUAUUUGAAUGAAGAUCCAACAGCUCUUUCCCUCCUCUUACAACGGAAAAAUUUGACUAGGGUUUCCAAUUGAUUGUUGCAAUUCACCUUAUUUGUUCUUAUCGGUUUAGUAUUCUACAAAAUCAAUAGCUGGAAAGAGUGAGUUCAAAUUUCUGAAGGUAGAUUUAAAGAUCAAACUGCUUUUGUAUUAAAACAUGGAGAAAAUAGACCAUGAAGUAACCAAAGAAAGAGUUUUGGAUGUGAAAAAUCAAAGUUUUCUGCUCGGGGAAGAGAAGUCAAGUGUGCUGUCUCCUUUACCUUUGCAGAAGAGGGGGAUCGCUGUAGGCAACUCUAUUGGAACAGAUUUUUCAUCUUGGACACCAGAGAAAAAGAAUGAGCAAUCACACACUAAACAUGAAAUAGAUAUUGCUGAGCUUCCUGAAAAAUACAAAAACUUGUCAGAGUUCUUUGAUCGUAUGCUUUGUUCGUUGAGGUUGCUUGGUCUGCGAAAAAGGUCACCUACUUUUCAGAAUGUGUCCAGUCAAGUCGAAGUUCUGACAGGAAGGUAGCUGGGUGGUUGCAGAUCUCACCUAUCUCGUUACUCUUUUUUCUUAACUAUCUCGUCAGUCCAAAUUUUCUUUUAUAUCUGUUCUCUUCUUUAAAUUGCCUUCCCGUAUAUGGUAAUCGUUCUUAUCUCUGCAAUUUUUGUUGAUUGUGGCAGCUCUCUAUCUGGUUAUCAUUCUUGAAGGAAAAAAAAGGGUCUUGAAUCUAGAAGAAAAUGUUCUAGUUUACAUGAAUGAUAUUAGCUUCUUCAAGUUCUUAGGCAUUUCUCUUCUUUCAGUACUUCUUGUGUUUGAAUUAUUAUCUUCAAAGCAUCGAGAAAUAGUUUACCAAUUUGAAGCUUUUAAGGUGGCAUUUGUUUCAAAAACUGGUGAAAAUUUUCUCGACAAGCCAUUCUUGUAUUUGGUUGGAUUUUUUUGGAAAAAUUGAAAAAUGUUUUCUCCCAAAAAAGAAAAAAAUUAAACAAUUUUAACACUUUUUGAAAUGAAAUGCCAGCUAAAUUUGUUUGGUUUAUCGAACUCUCAUUUAGUCUAAAGAGAGUCUUUUUCUGAUUUAUCCUGUAAAAAAUAUAAUUGAGCCAUAUAAUAUUGGAAGAGUAUAUCUUUGAUAUUGCAAAAAGCAACAUGCAGUGGCAAUAGAGAGCUUGGGAACAACUAAUUGCUUUUUAUCUGCUGAAAAUUUCUGUUCUCAAACAAGACCAAUGCAUUUAUAACAAUUGUUUGUUGACCAUGAGGCGUAAGCCAUGAGAUUGGGAUAUGCGAUGUUUGUUCUAUUACCUGGAGCAAGUAGCUCACUGGUAAACAUUGGUGAGUCAUAGAAAUCAGUUUGUCUUGUUACUUAAACUCUACCAUGUGUAAGAAGAGUUUGUAUAAACUGAAGUAUUAUGAACUGAAUUAUUAUGAUUUUGUUUACUCUAUCAGUUUUAGGCCUCAUUUGGUUGCACUUAAUAGAGGUCUGAAUCUUAAUCAUUCAGACCUCAGACAUUAAGUGCGUUUGUUUUUAAAAUCUUAAUCUUAAUCAUUAAGUAUUUUUUUUUUUUACUUCACAACCACUUAAUGGGUCUGAAUCUGUCUGUAUGAUUAAUAUCUAUAACAAAACUUAAUUUUAUUAAGAUGCUAUCAUCCACAUUCAUUACUAACUGCCGCCGCCUACCAUUAUUAACUACCACCACCACCACCACCACCACCAC